UACGAAGGGUGCAAGCGUUAAUCGGAAUUACUGGGCGUAAAGGGCGCGUAGGCGGUUCGUUAAGUCUGUCGUGAAAUCCCCGGGCUCAACCUGGGAAUGGCGAUGGAUACUGGCGAGCUAGAGUGUGUCAGAGGAUGGUGGAAUUCCCGGUGUAGCGGUGAAAUGCGUAGAGAUCGGGAGGAACAUCAGUGGCGAAGGCGGCCACCUGGGACAACACUGACGCUGAAGCACGAAAGCGUGGGGAGCAAACAGG
rnacentral:rRNA from 1 species